GUCUAUGGCCACACCACCCUGAACGCGCCCGAUCUCGUCUGAUCUCGGAAGCUAAGCAGGGUCAGGCCUCGUUAGUACUUGGAUGGCAGACCUGGUGCAGAGUCCACCAUUGCCU
ensembl:rRNA 5S_rRNA 5S ribosomal RNA